GUCACUAUAGCCAAGUGGUUACGGCGACAGAUUCGAAUAUUAUGUAUAUAUUAUGUAAGCAUCUGUUCCUCUUUGAGGGCGUAGGUUCAAAUCCUACUGGUGACG